rnacentral:rRNA from 1 species
GAUGAACGCUGGCGGCGUGCCUAAUACAUGCAAGUCGAGCGAACAGAUGAGGAGCUUGCUCCUCUGACGUUAGCGGCGGACGGGUGAGUAACACGUGGAUAACCUACCUAUAAGACUGGGAUAACUUCGGGAAACCGGAGCUAAUACCGGAUAAUAUAUUGAACCGCAUGGUUCAAUAGUGAAAGACGGUUUUGCUGUCACUUAUAGAUGGAUCCGCGCCGCAUUAGCUAGUUGGUAAGGUAACGGCUUACCAAGGCAACGAUGCGUAGCCGACCUGAGAGGGUGAUCGGCCACACUGGAACUUAGACACGGUCCAGACUCCUACGGGAGGCAGCAGUAGGGAAUCUUCCGCAAUGGGCGAAAGCCUGACGGAGCAACGCCGCGUGAGUGAUGAAGGUCUUCGGAUCGUAAAACUCUGUUAUUAGGGAAGAACGAAUGUGUAAGUAACUAUGCACGUCUUGACGGUACCUAAUCAGAAAGCCACGGCUAACUACGUG